rnacentral:misc_RNA from 1 species
AAGUCGUAACAAGGUUUCCGUAGGUGAACCUGCGGAAGGAUCAUUAACACGUAUCCAAACGUUAAAACAACCCUGUGAAUAUUGAAUCUCAGUUCCCCCAGGGCAGAAAAAUGGGCUUCCUCUAGUAAAUCAUUGUCUUAACAAGGUUUUGAGUUAGAGGAUGGCGCACGAGUAGCACCUGUAUUGGGUCGAGCGUUUACAACUAUCCACUCCUGGUGCCCCCAAGCAACCAUCAAUCUGAAAGUGUUUGGUGAAUUGUGCAAGGGCAGCGCAGUCAGGUCGUUACUCCCUCGUGGGGCUCAUUCAGGUUGAACAUGAUGCAUGUCUACCGCGCCCGACGAAAGUAUGACGCACCCCUAACCGAACAACUGUGAACAAUGGAUAUCUUAGGUCUC